GACGAACGCUGGCGGCGUGCUUAACACAUGCAAGUCGAACGAUGAAGCCGGAGCUUGCUCUGGUGAAUUAGUGGCGAACGGGUGAGUAACACGUGAGUAACCUGCCCUUAACUCUGGGAUAACUGCUAGAAAUGGUAGCUAAUACCGGAUACGACCCUCGGAGGCAUCUUCAGGGGGUGGAAAGAAUUUCGGUCAAGGAUGGACUCGCGGCCUAUCAGCUAGUUGGUGAGGUAAUGGCUCACCAAGGCGACGACGGGUAGCCGGCCUGAGAGGGUGACCGGCCACACUGGGACUGAGACACGGCCCAGACUCCUACGGGAGGCAGCAGUGGGGAAUAUUGCACAAUGGGCGCAAGCCUGAUGCAGCAACGCCGCGUGAGGGAUGACGGCCUUCGGGUUGUAAACCUCUUUUAGUAGGGAAGAAGCGAAAGUGACGGUACCUGCAGAAAAAGCACCGGUUAACUACGUGCCAGCCGCCGCAGUAA
rnacentral:rRNA from 1 species